rnacentral:lncRNA from 1 species
AGUUUCUGAUUUAUUUUCAUCCUUUUUAAUUUUCCUUCUCCUCAUUAGGGCUGUGAAUCCCCUCUCUGGGAACCUGGAACUUCCUAUGCAUGAAGAAAAACUGUUUACAUGAAAGAAAGCUGUGGGGAGAGAUCAAGAACCAUGAAUGAUCAGACAGUUGUAUCACUGUCUAGAAUUUAUUACAAUGACUUGCUCUGAGUGGCAGAU